AAGUCGUAACAAGGUUUCCGUAGGUGAACCUGCGGAAGGAUCAUCAACAAUAGACCGGAAAUGGUCUGAUCUAUACCAUACUAUACCAUAUUAUUACUUGAUAGGAUAGUGGAUGAUAUAUCAUCUGGUUGACUUGAUUGUAAUUGACCGACCGGAUUUUAAUCCAAUGGUCUAAUCUUGACCGAAAAGGUCUAUUUACCAAACUUUUAUUAUUAUUAUUAUUAUUAUUAGGCGAAUGCCAUUGAACAGGAUAUCAGACCGGUUUCGGUGUAAUGCCACCGGUGUAAAAAAAAAAGAUUAAAACUUUCGGCAAUGGAUCUCUCGGCUCUCC
rnacentral:misc_RNA from 1 species